rnacentral:lncRNA from 1 species
CAGUGGACUCGGGUUAUAAUUACCAACAGAGGAGAGAAUAACUAUAAGUUAUUUUGAUGUAAAAAGCAUAUUAUCCUAAGCCAACAUAAUAACACAGUUUUUAUGAAGCACAAUAAUUACUUUGAAGACUCACAGAAGUGCAUUUUUCUAAAAGAAGGAGAUUCUCAUACAGAAACAGAUUAACAGAAACAGAAACAGCAACACUAGAGAACAGCAAAAUAGUAACAUUUCAAAUAGUAACAUUUCAAGAAAAUAUAUACACCUUCACAGUAUGUGGUGGUAUCCACUUACUGUCUACUGCCUCCAUAACUCCUAAAGUCUUCUGAAGAUUUAUUAAUGCUUUGAAUAUAUGAGCCACCGUUUCUUUUCACAGCCUUUUCACAACUGGGAAUUCUUUAGAGAAAGGCAAUCUUACCUCAUUUACUUACUUCAUCAGUAAUGCCAUUACUAUGCCUACCUAAGAAGAAAAUAUAUCAUGUGGCAGAGGACUAGAAAGAAAAAACAACAACAAAAGGCUGUGAAGAUUUGAUCAUAUGCCUACGUGUGUGGUGAAUACAAUAUUUCUUUAAUCGCAAUCAGGAAUAUAAAUCUUAUUUUGAUGCUAUGACAUAAUAAAGUGCAUUAUUUUCCUGAA